AUUGAACGCUGGCGGCAGGCCUAACACAUGCAAGUCGAACGAGUUGCGGACUUUUGAGUAAUGUCUGGGAAACUUCCCGAUGGAGGGGGAUAACUCCUGGAAACGGUAGCUAAUCCCGCAUACCAUCGGAUGUGCCCCGAUGGGAUUAGCUAGUAGGUGGGGUAACGGCUCACCUAGGCGACGAUCCCUAGCUGGUCUGAGAGGAUGACCAGCCACACUGGAACUGAGACACGGUCCAGACUCCUACGGGAGGCAGCAGUGGGGAAUAUUGCACAAUGGGCGCAAGCCUGAUGCAGCCAUGCCGCGUGUAUGAAGAAGGCCUUCGGGUUGUAAAGUACUUUCAGCGAGGAGGCGGUACUCGAAGAAGAAGCACCGGCUAACUCCGUGCCAGCAGCCGCGGUAAUUA
rnacentral:rRNA from 1 species